CUACGGGAGGCUCCAGCGGGGAAUCUUAGACAAUGGGGGAAACCCUGAUCUAGCCAUGCCGCGUGAGCGACGACGGCCCUAGGGUUGUAAAGCUCUUUCAGCAGGGAAGAUAAUGACGGUACCUGCAGAAGAAGUCCCGGCUAACUCCGUGCCAGCAGCCGCGGUAAUACGGAGGGGACUAGCGUUGUUCGGAAUUACUGGGCGUAAAGCGGGCGUAGGCGGAUUGUUAAGUCGGGGGUGAAAUCCCGGGGCUCAACCCCGGAACUGCCCUCGAUACUGGCAGUCUUGAGUUCGAGAGAGGUGAGUGGAAUUCCGAGUGUAGAGGUGAAAUUCGUAGAUAUUCGGAGGAACACCAGUGGCGAAGGCGGCUCACUGGCUCGAUACUGACGCUGAGGUGCGAAAGCGUGGGGAGCAAACAGGAUUAGAUACCCCGGUAGUC
rnacentral:rRNA from 1 species